AUCAUUUACAAAGAAAGGACUGGAUAACACAAUGUACUAUUCUUACAUUCACUGUACUUUGUGUUAGACUUUACACUCAAAAUAAAAUCAGAUAAAAUAGCAUAUAUGAUGUUUGCACUCAGCCUACAUUUCCCAUGACUAGGAAGGCUGUCUGUGCGUGCGGACUCUUUGCACAGCUCCUGCUGUCCGAUUUCACAGAUCUGUAAACACUCGGGAUGGGACCAACACGUGCUAUGUGGUCUGUAUAUAUAGGUUUUGGGGUGAUGAUGCUGCGAACGUGUGCAACUGCUGAGCAAUAUGUUGCUUAUGCAUUUAACCUUGGUUUUAUUUUGGCUUAAAGGAGACGCAACAAAGUGGUAACGCGACAUGGCCCGUGCAAAUAGUUAGGUUUACUAUAGCUUUAAGAAUGCAAAAUCGUGUCUGGUUCUUUAAAAAUGGAUAUUGGUUUAUUAUUAUAGUGAGAAUUAAGAAAGUUUUUUAUUUAUUAUUAUUGAUCAAUAAAUUAAUGCUUAUAAUUUGCGGACAAGGCCCGAAUUCUGUGAAUUAUGUCACAGUCGGAUUACGGCCUUUAGCUAGCAAUCCAAGCGUUUGAUCGAUGUAUCAAAUGUAAUCAUUUUUUCCUGUCAGUACAGUAUCAGAGAAAGUCAUAAAUACGAUACGGGGCAAAAGGGUAGGAACCAGGAACACGCGGUGAUGGAGCCGCAAAUCGGCGAUAACAAUAAAAGGGAAGAGCCCGAAGACAAGGCCACGGUCCAAUCCCCGACUUCGAGUGCAGCGGUCACCCCGCGCAGGACUUCGAGAGACCGCGGAGUCGGCCGGAAGAAGGGGGUUUCUCCUUCGCCGUGUACGAAUGGAGCAACAUCAGGCACUCCGAGUUCUGGACGAGUGUUACGAGACCGGUCUACACGAACGGUACCAGCUUGGUUGCAGAGCGAGAAGAGUGACGAUGCAGAAGAAUUGUGCCCCGACAAAGCCGUAAACCGCCGGAGGAAGGCUGCUUGUCCACGACCCAGGAAAAAUGCCUCCUCUGCAGCUCCAGCAGAGAGUACAGAAGAGGUCGGGAAUGACGACAGUAGUCAAGCUCAUGACUCAGGGGACCAAAAGAAACCCACUGUUCAAGCCCCCCCUGACUCACAGAAUGCUCAGGCGCGUGCCAAGGCCCCUUCUGCCCGGGGUACAAGGGGGUCCGCCAAACCUGUGUGCAAGAGUGAGCCUGGCACCGACACCCCAACCGUGGUGGUGGAGGCAAAGGUAGUUGAAAAGAAGACAGUUGGGAUUGAGAAAAAAGAGGAGAAUGAGGAAGAUGUUCUCUUGGGAGGAGAAUAUGAGCCUCCUUUCCAAGAUGACCCGAAAGACCUCAGCUUACAGCCACGGUCACAGAGUGGGGAGGAGGUAAUCAGCAGUGACGAUGACAUUCCCUUCAGAGAUGACCUCAACGACCAGAGCUACAACCCAGAGGCUGAGACUACUAGGGAUGUCCCCAAACCACGGCGCAAACCCCCUCAGAGACAGAAAGAGAAGGAACCAGGAAUCAAGAUAGAGGGCACGGAUGUGAAGCUGGAGAAUGAGUUCGGAGAGGGGAUGUGCCCAGAAAGAGAGGCAGGCGAAGGAAAGAUGAUAAAAGUCCCCGGCUCCCGAAAAGAAGAAAGAAGCCCCCGGUGCAGUACGUGCGUUGUGAGAUGGAGGGGUGUGGCACAGUCCUGGCUCACCCUCGCUACCUGCAGGUCUGCCAUAGCAACUGUAGUGGUCGCCAUGGUGACGAUUAAGCACCCAAGCUAUUCUAAGAUUGCGUUGUGCACGUACAGGGUUGGGGUCGAUUUUAAAUUCAGAAUUUUUUCAAUGCAUGCAAUUGAAUUUCAAUUUCACUUCCUGAAUUGGGUGUGGAAAUGGAAUUGACCGCAACACUGGUGAAUAGUAUUUAGCUUUUUUCCCUCUAUCCUUCAUCUCUCUCGGACUCUCUUUUUCCUGUAAUUCCCAGCACCAUAUUAAGUACCAGCACCUGUUGAAGAAGAAGUUUGUAUGUCCUCACCCAUCCUGUGGAAGACUCUUCAGGCUGCAGAAACAGCUACUUCGCCAUGCCAAGCACCACACAGACCAGAGGGACUACAUCUGCGAGUUCUGCGCCCGC